UGUCGUCAGCUCGUGUUGUGAAAUGUUGGGUUAAGUCCCGCAACGAGCGCAACCCUUAUCCUUUGUUGCCAGCGGUCCGGCCGGGAACUCAAAGGAGACUGCCAGUGAUAAACUGGAGGAAGGUGGGGAUGACGUCAAGUCAUCAUGGCCCUUACGACCAGGGCUACACACGUGCUACAAUGGCGCAUACAAAGAGAAGCGACCUCGCGAGAGCAAGCGGACCUCAUAAAGUGCGUCGUAGUCCGGAUUGGAGUCUGCAACUCGACUCCAUGAAGUCGGAAUCGCUAGUAAUCGUGGAUCAGAAUGCCACGGUGAAUACGUUCCCGGGCCUUGUACACACCGCCCGUCACACCAUGGGAGUGGGUUGCAAAAGAAGUAG
rnacentral:rRNA from 3 species